CCUACGGGUGGCAGCAGUGGGGGAUAUUGCACAAUGGGGGGAACCCUGAUGCAGCGACGCCGCGUGGGUGAAGGAGUAUUUCGGUAUGUAAAGCCCUAUCGGCAGGGAAGAAUUUAGACGGUACCUGACUAAGAAGCCCCGGCUAACUACGUGCCAGCAGCCGCGGUAAUACGUAGGGGGCAAGCGUUAUCCGGAUUUACUGGGUGUAAAGGGAGCGUAGACGGCUAAUCAAGUCAGAAGUGAAAACCCAGGGCUCAACUUUGGGACUGCUUUUGAAACUGAGUAGCUAGAGUGCAGGAGAGGUAAGCGGAAUUCCUAGUGUAGCGGUGAAAUGCGUAGAUAUUAGGAGGAACACCAGUGGCGAAGGCGGCUUACUGGACUGUAACUGACGUUGAGGCUCGAAAGCGUGGGGAGCAAACAGGAUUAGAUACCCGGGUAGUC
rnacentral:rRNA from 1 species